GACGAACGCUGGCGGCGUGCUUAACACAUGCAAGUCGAACGGAAAGGCCCUGCUUUUGUGGGGUGCUCGAGUGGCGAACGGGUGAGUAAGACGUGAGUAACGUGCCCUUGACUUUGGGAUAACUCCAGGAAACUGGGGCUAAUACCGGAUAGGAGCUCCUGCGGCAUGGUGGGGGUUGGAGAGUUUCGGCGGUUGGGGAUGGACUCGCGGCUUAUCAGGUUGUGGGUGGGGUAGUGGCUUACCACGGCGUUGACGGGUAGCCGGCCUGAGAGGGUGACCGGCCACCAUGGGACUGAGGUAAGGCCCAGACUCCUACGGGAGGAAGCAGUGGGGAAUAUUGCACAAUGGGCGGAAGCCUGAUGAAGCAACGCCGCGUGCGGGAUGUCGGCCGUCGGGUUGUAAACCGCUUUCGCCUGUGACGAAGCGUGAGUGACGGUAAUGGGUAAAGAAGCACCGGCUAACUACGUG
rnacentral:rRNA from 1 species